UACGAAGGGGGCUAGCGUUGCUCGGAAUCACUGGGCUUAAAGGGCGCGUAGGCGGGCUGUCAAGUCUGGGGUGAAAUCCCACGGCUCAACCGUGGAACUGCCUUAGAUACUGACGGCCUCGAGGGAGAUAGGGGCGAGCGGAACUGUGAGUGGAGCGGUGAAAUGCGUUGAUAUUCACAGGAACUCCGGUGGCGAAGGCGGCUCGCUGGAUCUUUUCUGACGCUGAGGCGCGAAAGCUAGGGGAGCAAACGGG
rnacentral:rRNA from 1 species